rnacentral:rRNA from 1 species
UUCCCCAGUCACGACGCAUAUCAAUAAGCGGAGGAAAAGAAACUAACAAGGAUUCCCUCAGUAACGGCGAGUGAAGCGGGAAGAGCUCAAGCUUAAAAUCUCCACGCAAGUGGCGAAUUGUAGUCUAUUGAGGCUGUUGUCAGCAGAGCGACCUGGGAAAAGUCCCUUGGAAGAGGGCAGCAUAGAGGGUGAUACUCCCGUCUUUGCCCAGGUUGUCUUUGUGUACGACACGCUUUCUUUGAGUCGAGUUGUUUGGGAAUGCAGCUCAAAGUAGGUGGUAAAUUCCAUCUAAAGCUAAAUAUUGGUGCGAGACCGAUAGCGAACAAGUACCGUGAGGGAAAGAUGAAAAGAACUUUGAAAAGAGAGUUAAAGAGUACCUGAAACUGUUGAAAGGGAACCGUAUCGUGUCCAGUGUGUAUCCUAUGCAUAUUUCAUUGGCGGUCGCAAGAUUGCUGGUGCCCUGUGUAUGGGUGUGACGUCAGAGUCAGUUGAGAUUGCGGGAGAUGGGUAGUGAGGAGGUGCGUCACUUCGGUGAAAGUUACAGCUCGCUGCCUAGUAGCCGUGGUCAAGACUGAGGUGCCUACAACAUGCUCUGGGGUCUGCUGCUGUCUCGUGUUGUUGAUUGCCUGGAUAGCUUGCUAUGCUGGUGAUGAAGGAUGCGAUUGGCGGUAGUAGUAACCUCUGCUGUUCGGGACUCUGGCGAAAUGGAGCGAUACGACCCUCUAAGACAGUCA